UAAUACAUCGGAACAUGUCCAGUAGUGGGGGAUAGCCCGGCGAAAGCCGGAUUAAUACCGCAUACGAUCURUGGAUGAAAGCGGGGGAUCGCAAGACCUCGCGCUAUUGGGGUGGCCGAUGGCGGAUUAGCUAGUUGGUGGGGUAAAGGCCYACCAAGGCGACGAUCCGUAGCUGGUCUGAGAGGACGACCAGCCACACUGGGACUGAGACACGGCCCAGACUCCUACGGGAGGCAGCAGUGGGGAAUUUUGGACAAUGGGCGAAAGCCUGAUCCAGCAAUGCCGCGUGUGUGAAGAAG
rnacentral:rRNA from 1 species